CCUAGGGUUGCUCCAGUGGGGAAUAUUGGACAAUGGGGGAAACCCUGAUCCAGCAAUGCCGCGUGUGUGAAGAAGGCCUGCGGGUUGUAAAGCACUUUCGGUUGGGAGGACUGCUUCUAGCACUAAUAUUGUUGGAAGUUGACGUUACCUUCAGAAGAAGCACCGGCUAACUCCGUGCCAGCAGCCGCGGUAAUACGGAGGGUGCAAGCGUUAAUCGGAAUUACUGGGCGUAAAGCGCGCGUAGGCGGCUAGAUCAGUCGGGUGUGAAAGCCCAGGGCUUAACCUGGGAACUGCAUCCGAUACUGUCUAGCUUGAGUACAGGAGAGGAGAGUGGAAUUCCACAUGUAGCGGUGAAAUGCGUAGAUAUGUGGAGGAACACCAAUGGCGAAGGCAGCUCUCUGGCCUGAUACUGACGCCGAGGUGCGAAAGCGUGGGGAGCAAACAGGAUUAGAUACCCCUGUAGUC
rnacentral:rRNA from 1 species